rnacentral:rRNA from 1 species
UACGUAGGGUGCAAGCGUUGUCCGGAAUUAUUGGGCGUAAAGAGCUCGUAGGCGGUCUGUCGCGUCGGCUGUGAAAACCCGGGGCUCAACCCCGGGCCUGCAGUCGAUACGGGCAGACUAGAGUGCGGUAGGGGAGACUGGAAUUCCUGGUGUAGCGGUGAAAUGCGCAGAUAUCAGGAGGAACACCGGUGGCGAAGGCGGGUCCCUGGGCAGUAACUGACGCUGAGGCGCGAAAGCGUGGGGAGCGAACAGG